GCUCCUGUCGUCUAGCCUGGUCUAGGACGCGCGGUUCUCAUCCGCGUAACGGGGGUUCGAAUCCCCCCGGGAGCA
rnacentral:tRNA from 1 species